rnacentral:lncRNA from 1 species
ACGAUAAACCGCAGACACGCGAUACGCACUACCUCGACGGACAAGUCCUCUAAAGAAAAACCGUCACGCAUGAGGCUGCCCAUCAACCAGGUUUUCUCGGCUGGCGCCAGCAAACGGGAGGUCUUCUUUGCAAUCCUACUCGUACUAUUUAUUAUCUUGCACUGUCAACAGUUCUCCCACACCUUUACAUUUUCAUGAGGUUCCUCCGUGUUCCCCUGCCCCACGAACGGCAUCGCUGCCUCUACUUCACGCUGAUUUGUUGCUUUGCGCCCCCUGAAUCCUCGACCUUGAUCGUGACACGUAGAACGCCGUUGUCCAUUGCCGCACUGAUUCCGUCGGGCUUGUAAUUACUCGGGAGCUGGAACCGGCGCGCAAAAUAACCGGACACUCGCUCAGUCAAAAUGUUCUUUGUUUUGCCAUCGUCCACUUUCUCCGCUUCUUUCGAGGUCUUCUCUCCUGCCAGGGCAGCACGGAGCAACGCGAUUCCGUCGUCAUGCACGAAAAAAAUCACCUGGUUAAAGCGGAAUCUUCAGCGCUGCCUGCUGUCCCCAGUUCUAUCAGAGAAAGCUUACGUGCCAUCUUCAUUCGGCUAAGCUUCUUGUGCCUUUUUUGUAACAUCUACAACUGGGGCUACAAGUUUGCACUGCAAGAUUCCUUUCCUUCCAGAUCCAUUUUCUACUACCACAGUUUAUUACGAUAGCCACAGGUGCCGAGACAGUCAACGAGCUUUUGUCCUCAGUGCAACAUGUCCACUGAACUCAAAUACGUUUACGUCCCCGAUACUCGUGUACAGUGGUGUAUGUCUUCUGUGCCGGCGCCUCGUCAGCAAGCACGUUCCGAUAACGCAUGCACGUUGUGCAUCUGACGGAUACACCGUCGACAGACG